UACGUAGGUGGCGAGCGUUGUCCGGAUUUACUGGGCGUAAAGGGCGUGCAGGCGGUUUGUUAAGUGCAGGGUGAAAGCUCCCGGCUCAACUGGGAGAGGUCCUUGCAUACUGGCGAACUCGAGGGAGGCAGAGGAAAGUGGAAUUCCCGGUGUAGUGGUGAUAUGUGUAGAGAUCGGGAGGAACACCGGUGGCGAAGGCGGUCUUCUGGACGGUGACUGACGCUGAGGCGCGAAAGCGUGGGGAGCAAACGGG
rnacentral:rRNA from 1 species